GAGAACAUGGUUUGCUCAAGAAUUUGUGUUAGCUCUGUUUACAAACUGGAAUGUGGAUAUUUCCUUAAAAAGUACAAGUAUUAGUUCAAACAUUGAGUAUACUACUUUACUGUGGACUGACUGAUAAACUAAUGAUGGAAAGAAAUACAAAUGUUUUUAAGUUUCAAGGCUCCAAAAUGAUUGUUUCUGCCAAAGGGCCAAACACUAACUUCACCAACAGGAACUACACCAUGGACACAAGUUUUCGCCCCAACCUGUUCUCUUCUACCUUAAAUUUGUCACGCAAUUUUGAAAAGCAAAGUUCUUUCUAUUCGAGAGGCUUUUCCCAACGAUCAGUGUGCAAUGACAGAGCAGUAUCACCGGUCUCAAUGAGAAGUAUUGAUUCUACAGCCAGUCGGGCAGAUACAAUCAAAUCUUGUAUUGAUACAAUGAAGUGUCUUACUGAAGAUGAAUUGAAAAUGAUUAAGCAUGCAGUAAACAGAAGUCUUCAAUAUAGGAAAAAUGCUCAGAAGAGACGAAAAAUGCAGAAGUCCUUAAAGAAUUUCAAAACCAGGUAUGAAGAUGAUAGUGAGCAGACAUCCAGCUCAUCAAUGAGCAAUGAUGACUGUGUGUCAACACGGACAGGUUACAGUUGGAGACAGUUCUCAGAAAGAAAUGGUCUACCCCAAAAUGAGAAUACUUUGUACCCCCAGAAUAAUACAAUGUUUGGUCUUAAAAAUACCUUCACCUCUCAAAGGUAUGCGAGUAGCCAAGCAAAUAUGUCCUCCAUGCAAAGAAAUACUCUUAAUGCCUCCAUAUGUUCUACUAAAAGCAUGCAAAAUAUGACUAUGAUGUCUCAAAGAGACAGGUUCAGGGGUGGAUUUCAAUUCCCAUCUCAAAAGUUUAACAGGUCCAUAUUUUAUGAAGAGCAACAGCAAGUUAGAAGCAAUCAGUUCCCACAGGCAGGGUUUGCUAACAAAAAGAUGAAUGUACAAAGAGAUCAGAUUGAUGAACUGAGUGAUGAAAAUGAUAACAUUUUCCUUGACACAACAGA